rnacentral:rRNA from 1 species
AUAGUUGUUUGCACCGAAUACUACAUGUCUAGAAUGUGGUAGGAAGUUUUGGAAUUAAACACGGAGCGGUGGAGUGUGUAGAUAUGUUUAAGAACACCGGAGGCGAAUUA